rnacentral:rRNA from 1 species
AUUAGAUGAGCCUAUAUUAGAUUAGCUAGUUGGUGGGGUAAUAGCCUACCAAGGUAAUGAUCUAUAGCUGAUCUGAGAGGAUGAUCAGCCACACUGGAACUGAGAUACGGUCCAGACUCCUACGGGAGGCAGCAGUGGGGAAUAUUGGACAAUGGGCGAAAGCCUGAUCCAGCCAUGCCGCAUGAGUGAAGGAGGCCUUUGGGUUGUAAAGCUCUUUUAGUGAGGAAGAUAAUGACGGUACUCACAGAAGAAGUCCUGGCUAACUCCGUGCCAGCAGCCGCGGUAAUACGGAGAGGGCUAGCAUUAUUCGGAAUUAUUGGGCGUAAAGGGCGCGUAGGCUGGUUAAUAAGUUAAAAGUGAAAUCCCGAGGCUUAACCUUGGAAUUGCUUUUAAAACUAUUAAUCUAGAGAUUGAAAGAGGAUAGAGGAAUUCCUGAUGUAGAGGUAAAAUUCGUAAAUAUUAGGAGGAACACCAGUGGCGAAGGCGUCUAUCUGGUUCAAAUCUGACGCUGAAGCGCGAAGGCGUGGGGAGCAAACAGGAUUAGAUACCCUGGUAGUCCACGCUGUAAACGAUGAAUGUUAAAUAUGGGGGAG